UACGUAGUGUGCGCGCGUUAAUCGGAAUUACUGGGCGUAAAGCGUGCGCAGGCGGUUAUGUAGGACAGAGGUGAAAUCCCCGGGCUCAACCUGGGAACUGCCUUUGUGACUGCAUGACUAGAGUACGGCAGAGGGGGAUGGAAUUCCGCGUGUAGCAGUGAAAUGCGUAGAUAUGCGGAGGAACACCGAUGGCGAAGGAAUUCCCCGGGGCCUGUACUGACGCUCAUGCACGAAAGCGUGGGGAGCAAACAGG
rnacentral:rRNA from 1 species